UACGGGGGGAGCAAGCGUUGUUCGGAUUUACUGGGCGUAAAGGGCGCGUAGGCGGCGUGACAAGUCACUUGUGAAAUCUCCGGGCUUAACCCGGAGCGGCCAAGUGAUACUGUCGUGCUAGAGUGCGGAAGGGGCUACUGGAAUUCUCGGUGUAGCGGUGAAAUGCGUAGAUAUCGUAAGGAAGACCAGUGGCGAAGGCGAGUCUCUGGACAGUUACCGACGCUGAGGCACGAAGGUCAGGGGAGCAAACGGG
rnacentral:rRNA from 1 species